rnacentral:rRNA from 1 species
CACGUAGGGAGCAAGCGUUGUCCGGAUUUAUUGGGCGUAAAGAGCUCGUAGGCGGUUCAGUAAGUCAGGUGUGAAACCUCCAGGCUCAACCUGGAGACGCCACCUGAUACUGCUGUGACUUGAGUCCGGUAGGGGAGCGUGGAAUUCCUGGUGUAGCGGUGAAAUGCGCAGAUAUCAGGAGGAACACCGGUGGCGAAGGCGGAUCUCUGGGCCUUACCUGACGCUGAGGCGCGAAAGCUAGGGGAGCGAACAGG